ensembl:lncRNA
GAUAACCAAGGAGCAGCCGACCUCAAGUUAACGUUUCACUUUCUUUCUUUUUUCGCUACCUAUCCUGGCAGCAAGACAUAUUCUAAAACUGUUUUUAGAAAGUAAAACGCCAAGACUAUUGCGGUAGUUACCGGUCUCGAUCAUUCUUCUGGAGCAUGCUAUUCUUCUUCCCUGGUACCUUCCCCGAACGAGAGGCGCGCCGAAGUGUUCAUUAUGGACUGGUCUACUCUAGCCUCCUAUUACGUCUCACUGAACUUUGUGGUCACUCCCACAAACGAAUUCGUGUUUUCUUACUAACUUCCCAGCAGUUUUCAUACCAAACGUUACACAUCGUAGAAGUGGAAAAUACAGUCAAAUCUGAUUGAAGAGUUCAUAACUUUUUGAACCAUAUCUUUCUGUGCGCUUGUUCUACAUUCCAACUGCGAGUGAAAGUUACGCAAGACCCAACAUGGACGAGGCAGAGAAGUACCAGCAGAGAGUGCAGGCUAUAGAGGACAAGCGACGUAAGCAGCAGGACGACGAGAAAGCAAGGAGGGAGAUAGAGGAGGAGUGGCUGACGCAGGCCCAGCGCAAGGUCUGUCUGGAUCUAUCUGUCUGUCCUUCCCUGUUGUCCUGUUGCAGGGAGCCACAUGGCUGGCAGCUGGUUCACAUGCCCAGGGUGGAGCCCUCCUGUGUGAUGAUAAACUCAAUUAGCUCCAUAACACCAGACAACAUCCCCAACACCAUGAGGUGUCCUGAGGCAUUCUCUAUUCCUCUGUAUAAGAGUCUUUUUCUUCCUCCUUCCUGUUCACCUCUCUUCUGCUCAUCAUCUUACCAUGAUCUCUGCUACCAUGACCUCUGUAACGGAGAGAGAAAUCACAUGAAAGAGAGGAACUGAAAGGAUGAGGUGGUUGUAGAGAAAGAGGGAGGGAGUGAGUCAGAGUGAGAGUGAGAGAGAGCUGUGCAUUGUGUUGAUCUUUGUCAGUAACUCUCUCCUCCACUGGGACCACCAGCACUGAUCCCUGUUGGACCCCAUUAACUCCUUCACGUCAGAUCAGUGGUGGAGUGGCUAAAACCGCUCCAUCAACACAUAUCACUCAGGCAGCCGCCCACACAAAUAGUCUACUCUACAUUACUGGGUUUGCCUGAGGAUGUGUGCUGUGCUGGCGGCACCAGCCUUACACAUGGCAGAGGAAAGAGAGUUGUCUGAAGCCACAGGGCUUCCUUCUUCCUCAGUGUGAAGUGUGAGAACAGUCUCUUGUUCCCAGUCAGCCCAGAAGUUAGAGCAUCUCUGUAAGCACAGCUCACUUCCCGUCCUGUCUUACAUUUCUUUUCUGACUCUGAGCACAGUAAGAGACUGGUCCACAUGGAGCGGUCACACACUUUCCAUCCAAAAGGUUGUCUUGGCAAAUAGUUGUGAACAAGGCCAACUUAG